rnacentral:tRNA from 1 species
GGUCUCGUAGUCUAGUGGUUAGGACCCCGGAUUCUGAUUCCGGUAGCCCAGGUUCGAGUCCUGGCGAGACCU